AUGCUGCAGUGUAAGUGAUUGGUGCAGAGGGUGCACUAGGUACCUUUGUUAGAUUCUCAGAUGGCAGAAUGCACAGGUGUUUUUUCCAUGGUACCAGAAGGAGAUAAUGGAAAAUGUCUGUAUAUUCAUGUAUUUAAAGAGUUGCCACAAUCCUCUGCCACCUUGUGAAAGGUAGCAAAGAUCAGCCCCACAUAAGCAAUCUAAAGGUAACUUGGAAAGGUUCAGAAUAGAAAUUGAGUAGAAAGGUGUAAAUGGGGUUGGGCAAUGUUGGCUGCUGCUGUGUGUGUAAUCCUGUGUUCAGACCAGGGCUUUGGGCCUGUGCAGCUGCAACACUGAAUAUAAAAGAACUGCAGAUAAAAAACUGGAUAAAGAGUGCAAAUGGGGCUGAACGCUUGAUGCUGUGGCAGGUUCGUAGGUUUAAUGAGGCGCUCAGCCUGAGCAACAAGUUAAUGAACAAAAGGACUUCAAAAAUUACUAUUGAAGAAUGCAAAUUAAAUUACACAUUGGACAUGUUGCUGCCAUGUUUGUGGCAUGACCAGUGUUGGGUUUUACCUUGCUCAGAAGUAUAAGCAAGGGACUGAAAGAAAUUAACAUGUUAACAGACUGAUUUUCUAAUGGUAAGACUUCUGUCUCUGAAAUCCAGAAGCUGUCUCAAUCUACCAGUGAAAAGGAAGGCUGGUUCUAAGAAAUACAAGAUGUCUGUCUGCCUUAGGCUGACUUUCAGCUUGUACUGUUUUUCCUUAUGAAACUGAUACCCUGAAUUCAAGUGGUGGCAUUGGAAACCCAACUGUGCAACUGGUUUUUGAUGAGUUUUAGCUCUUUGUAGGCUCUGGCAAAUGAGACAACCAGAGGGAGUACAAAGCAGACAGAGCUCGUCUCUUUCCUAGUGGAGAACUGUGGAAACAGAGAACAGAGAAAGUGGAUGGGCAAAAACGGUGAUGGUGGGUGUUUGCUUUACACGGGCGCUGGCUGUGUAAGGGUGAGCUGUAAAAGCGGUUUAACGGGCGAGGAGUCAAAGCCCGGCCAGAGGUGCGUGUCAGUGGUCACAGGAGCUGCUUGAAGCCGAUGGUGGAGGGAAGCUCUCCUGAGGGGACACCCGGGGCUCUGAUUUGGGCGGGGAAUGAAGGCCCUGGUGGGGAGCCCCUGGCCGGGACCCGGCGCACACUCGCUCAGAGCUGCUCCCGACGGGCCCGGGGCCUCCCUCGGGGCGCGGGUCGAGCUGUGGGAGAGAGCCCGACACGGGCCCAGAGACGGGAGCGAGUCCGGGGCAGGGCCGGCUGAGGGAGCGGUGCUCGGGAUGCGAGCCGGGGCGGGGGCGCGCCAGCUCCCGGCGGAGGGGAACGGGGCAAGCGGAGCACAAAGGGCCGCGGAGCGGUGCCGGUGCCUGCGGUCAGUGUCGGGUUCGGAUUCGGGUUGGGGUCGGUGCCAGCGCCGUUGUCGGUGCCUGGGGUCGAUAUCGGUACCGGUAUCGGAUCCGGCGUCGGUGGUCGGUCUGGGUUUGGUGUCGGUGCCGGGUUCGGUGCCGGGUUCCGGUUCGGUCUGGGUUUGGUGUCGGUGCCGGGUGGGGGUUCGGUUGGGUUUGGUGUCGGUGCCGGGUGGGGGUUCGGUUGGGUUUGGUGUCGGUGCCGGGUGCGGGUUCGGCUGGGUUUGGUGUCGGUGCCGGGC
ensembl:lncRNA